GUGACGUGCACCUGCCAUCUUGGUAGUAGCCGCUUUCGUCCAGCAGCUCCUCGACCACGGCCUGAGGAGAACCAGGGUGGAAUUUCAGUAACAUCAAAUUUGAGACAGUCACCUGUGGAAGGGAGAAGCACAAUCAUUGGGAUCUUUUUUUUUUUGAGUAAACCACUCUCGAGUCGUACCUGAGUCUUCAUCAAUGUUUCCAGUGAAGGGAAGCACCACAGGCCACCAGUCUGGACUGCUGGAACCAGACUCCAUUAGAUCACAUGACGCCUGGACCAGCUGCAGGGAAGAAACAUUUUGUAGGCCUUCACGGAGGCAAGAAACCAUAUUUGUAGUCCCACCUUGCUGAGCUCUGUCUUCAGGUUAUGCGGGUCACUUCCAAACUGGAACAGGGACUUUUUGAACUGUUCCACGAGCCGCCUCUUGACGUUGUGACGAGGAGCUGGAGGAAGCUGGAAAAAAAGGAUCAAAUUUGGACUUCAAUUUAAUUUGGGAAGGAAUAUACAAUGGUGGAAUGUACCUGCGUGAUGUAGAGCACUUUGUGAAGCUGCAACAGCAACCUGUGAAUCGGGUCCUCGAUCUGCCGAAGGUUCCUCUGGGAGACGCAGAGUCCUGACAAUACCCAAGCCGAGUUGACUUCACCAAAGUCAACAUUACAGCAAAUAAUCCAAAAGGUACCUGAUCUCGAUUUCACCCUCACUGUCGCUAAAUCCUCUCUGGAAGGACACAAAGAAACAUUUUUUAACAAAAUCACUUCCGAAAGCAACUUAUGAGAAAUAAGGAUGAAUUUAUGCUUCAAGUGAUACAAUUCAGAUUUGUUUUCCUAUCACAAUUGGAAUCGUCGCAAAAAUUCGUCAACGGGAAUCAAACCAUUGAGUGCCAAUGACGAAUAUAUUCGUCCCUUACGCCUAUCGAAAUGUGAAUCGUGUCACUUCAACCACGCAGUGUAAACAGGCAAAAGGUUGACUUGCCCACAUGGAGGUAGAUGAGGUGUAACACAGGAAGCAGAUUUUGACCCUUAAAGGUUGAAAAAAUAAUCAGCUGUGUUCAAGUUUGUUAAAGAAACCGUAAAGGCACGCAACUAACUGUAGUAUGGUCCGUCUUUCAUCUCUGCUUCUUCCUGAUUUGAGGCAGCAUCUGAAAAAAUAUUAACAUCUCAUCAUUGCGUCACAGAGUUUAAAUGAAUAUAAUUGUUAUCUAAAUUUAGAUUUUCUUCAAUGUUACUUGGAGGAAAGUGCUCAAGUUCAGAUGUUGUGAAGGCUUGUUUCUAGAAGAACAGUGGAAAAAAUGGCUGAGAUGUUUACAGUUGCUGUGUGAUUUCAUUUGAGUCCAAAGAAGCCAGACUACCUGAGCCAGGACUGAGGAGCAGCAGUUUUUCCCACUGCGGCGCCCUUCCAGGAAAUACCUCUGCGCCCGUUUCCUGUCACGUUCGGCUCGCUUCUCCAGCGCAAAGUGACAAGCGUACAGAGCGUCCAUCUGCUUCAUCAUCAGGUCGGCCAUCCGGGAGCUCACCGUCACGAUGUCAGGACGCCGUUCCGGGUCUGGACUCAAGCACCUGGGUAGUUCAAAAACAGGACAGGAAACUAAUCUGGAAUUGACAUUGAAAGUUGGAUACAUCACCCAGAUUCAAGUCGACCUUGCUGGCUAGCGAUAGCAUGUUGUUGCUAUAAAAUGGCGGCUCCAAGGCGGCCAUUUGAUAGAGGAUGCAGCCAAGGGCCCAAAUGUCAGCCUUUUCACCGUAUGGCUCGUUCUUCACCACCUCUGGACUGACACACACACAACACACAUUUUGAUUUGUCAUCAGUUACUUAUUGAAAUUCAAUACUACACAUUCUAUUUCCUAAAAAUGUCACUUGUCCUCACCAAGAGUACAAGAUGGUGCCCACCACCGAGGUCAUCUUACUGCUCUCCUGCUUCUGUUUGGCCAGGCCAAAGUCGGCUGCGGACGAGAAGAACCGUCGACGCCGUGUUACACAAUCAAAUGGAACAAGUGUGACGUUGCUGCAUGAUGUUGUUGGGUGUCAGGUCUCGGUGCACGAUGUGUUUGUCCUUGUGGAGGUAGCGCAGGGCCAAGCACAUCUAUGAUGGACAUGGGAGUUGCAACGUUCCAGGAGAGGAACUCCCUCGAUGAGCUCCAUCACGAUGUAAAGCUUGUCGUCUAUGAGCGAGCCAGUCAAACCAUCUGUCAUCUUCAUCUACUUAGAAGAGAGCCUCACCUUGCAGGAAGGUCUUGUAGUACUUGACGAUAUUCGGAUGGGCCAUCUGCACGAAAAAAGAGACACAUGAAUCACGUGACUUCUUAUCUUUGCCGAACGCCGGGUUGUGAAGGUUGACCUCUUUCAAGGCCACCAGAUUGCCAGUGCUCUGCUUGCGGACCUGAAACCUCACAGUGUCACGAAAACCAGAUGGACUUCAAGUUCAACGCUUCCAUACCUUAAAUACACUUCCAAAAGCGCCAGUGCCGAGAUGGUCCAGUACAGCGUAGCCAUUGAUCAUCUUGAGCGCGGGCCGGUUCUGGUCUAGAGCCACGAUGCUCUCUUGCAGGCUCUUUAGCUCCUCCUCCUGUCAAAACAAAUAAAAAAUCAGUAAGCCAAGAGUUAAUAAAUAGAUGGAUUAGUGUUAAUUGUCUCACAGAAUAGUCCAACACUUUAAUUUGAAGACCCUUGUAGGCUUCCAAGUCCCGCACAUAAUGGCCCACGUCAAUAAACGAUUCAUAAAGGUCCGUGAGAAACAGCCUGGAAGAAAACAAAAAAAAUCAACUUAACAUCCAUCAAGUUGACUUUGGUGAUGUCAUCGGUACCUCUUGAAAUGAUGUCUGUUCCUUUCCACGCUGAAGAGAAAGCGCAGCGCUCGGAAUGCGUAACACUGCCAAGCGACCAAUCGGCUCAUGUUACGCCAACGAUGUGUGUCAUCAUAUAUCACAAACACAAAAGAGUCAUACUUGUAAAGAGGACGGCUCGGCUUCAGAGUUUUGCGGUAAAGUCAGUUUGGCGAGGAUAUAGAUUCCGUUUUCCUGGAGGGGAAACUCAACUGGAUUCAAUUGUUACGUUUUCCACUCACUUCUUGGUCUGAACCGACCUGCACGAUGUGAUGAGCGCACGAGUCCUCCAGGCUGAGCUCGGUCAGAGCUGCGCAGCAGGCUGCA